AUUGAACGCUGGCGGCAUGCUUUACACAUGCAAGUCGAACGGCAGCGCGGGCUUCGGCCUGGCGGCGAGUGGCGAACGGGUGAGUAAUACAUCGGAACGUGCCCAGUAGUGGGGGAUAGCUCGGCGAAAGCCGGAUUAAUACCGCAUACGACCUGAGGGUGAAAGCGGUGGAUCUUCGGACCUCGCGCUAUUGGAGCGGCCGAUGGCAGAUUAGCUAGUUGGUGGGGUAAAGGCUUACCAAGGCGACGAUCUGUAGCUGGUCUGAGAGGACGACCAGCCACACUGGGACUGAGACACGGCCCAGACUCCUACGGGAGGCAGCAGUGGGGAAUUUUGGACAAUGGGCGAAAGCCUGAUCCAGCAAUGCCGCGUGUGUGAUGAAGGCCUUCGGGUUGUAAAGCACCUUUGGCGGGAACGAAAAGGACUGUGCCAAUACCACGGUUCGAUGACGGUACCCGCAGAAUAAGCACCAGCUAACUACGUG
rnacentral:rRNA from 1 species